GACGAACGCUGGCGGCGUGCUUAACACAUGCAAGUCGAACGAAGAGCGAUGGAAGCUUGCUUCUAUCAAUCUUAGUGGCGAACGGGUGAGUAACGCGUAAUCAACCUGCCCUUCAGAGGGGGACAACAGUUGGAAACGACUGCUAAUACCGCAUACGAUCUAAUCUCGGCAUCGAGGAUAGAUGAAAGGUGGCCUCUACAUGUAAGCUAUCACUGAAGGAGGGGAUUGCGUCUGAUUAGCUAGUUGGAGGGGUAACGGCCCACCAAGGCGAUGAUCAGUAGCCGGUCUGAGAGGAUGAACGGCCACAUUUGGACUGAGACACGGCCCAGACUCCUACGGGAGGCAGCAGUGGGGAAUCUUCCGCAAUGGACGAAAGUCUGACGGAGCAACGCCGCGUGAGCGAUGACGGCCUUCGGGUUGUAAAGCUCUGUUAAUCGGGACGAAAGGCCUUCUUGCGAAUAGUGAGAAGGAUUGACGGUACCGGAAUAGAAAGCCACGGCUAACUACGUG
rnacentral:rRNA from 1 species